ACUGUUGUUGGCAGCCUUGACCUGGGGCAUUGUGACCAACCUGAGUGGGUGCAGGAGGGGCCCUGACCUCUGCUGGGACGGCAUCCUCAGGAGCCUGGAGCGCCAUGCAGCUGCUGACACAGUAAUGAGCUGAGCAUGAAGACAGAUUCCCGCCUAAACUUGCUGGACGAUGGGACCCUGAUGAUCCAGAACACACAGGAGACAGACCAGGGUAUCUACCAGUGCAUGGCAAAGAACGUGGCCGGAGAGGUGAAGACGCAAGAGGUGACCCUCAGGUACUUCGGGUCUCCAGACAGAGUCUCGCUGUUGCCCAGGCUGGAGUGCAGUGGUAAGAUCUCAGCUCACUGCAACCUCUGACUCCCUGAUUCAAGUGAUUCUCCUGCCUCAGCCUGCCGAGUAGCUGGGACUACAGCUCGACCCACUUUUGUAAUCCAGCCACAGAAUACAGAGGUGCUGGUUGGGGAGAGCGUCACGCUGGAGUGCAGCGCCACAGGCCACCCCCCGCCGCGGAUCUCCUGGACGAGAGGUGACCGCACACCCUUG
rnacentral:sRNA from 1 species